UUUCUGUACUGAGAAAGCAAUUCUUAAUACAUUAUGUGUUACAUACCUUCUCGGUACAUUUUGUUAAUUGCUUUGAUGUUGGAAAAUUAUGUCUCAAUUCGCAAUUAUGACCUUGAAAAAAAGCAAAAUACUUGCAAACUCGCUAGAUAUUUCCUUUCAUGUCUAGGAAGUUGAAUAGUGUUUGGAAUCUUUUUCAAGAGGUACUUAAUUAUCACUCUUCUUCUAUAUAGGAAAUCAGUGCAUGUGAUUGUUUUUGUAUUGCAAGCAACAUGUGAUUCCAUAAGCAUCACUCAUAAUGUGCAUAGUCCCUAAUUUGCAUCUGCUGAUUUAUCCUUGAACUGGUGAUGUAACUCAGAAUGUAGGUGGUAGUUUGGCAAGAAGCAAAAGAAGGAUACCCGAAAACAUCAUUAGAAUAUUAUGUCCAAUCCAUUGUUCAAUUCAAAGGAACAAGGAAAAAAAAAAAAGAAAAGAAAAAGACAGUUUUGCUUAAGAUUUCAUGAAACUGAACCUUCCAGAAAUGUCUGAGUGGAUAAUGCAUAGACCAGGGUAUUAGAUAUUAGUGACAUAUGGCUGAUUGGCUAGUAGUGAUAUGUUUCUGAAAAGUUAGUUUGUAUGAUGAAAUUCAUCGAGGUGAAGAGGAGAUGGUUUCUGAUUUUAACUUGGUGUGGUUUAAUAUUUUGAGUAAACAAUGCAAGCAGCUACAUGAUUUUACUUGAUAUGGUUACCUAUUUGGGACUGCUGGUUUUAUCAUUUUAUUGGUUUUACCUGCACAUUAAUGGAAUUGUGUACACAAAUUACAAGUAGUUGAACUCGUUUUGAAUUUCAUCGUCUUUCGUAACGUUGUACAAACUCUCUUGUUUUGAGCAAGCAAGAUCGUUAGGAAGGAUAUAAACUUGAGCUAUUUAAUCUUGUACUGCAGAAAUUACUUGUGCAAACCUCUGUUGCCUAGGCAGAUGUAUAUGGAGUCUUCUUCAGAAUCUGUAUCCUCUAACUGUUUUUGACGCCAUACGUCAAAAACAUAUGGAAUUAUGAAAUUUAUGCUGCUUAAAAUUAAGGCUUAUCAUUAUUACAGUUUAGUGUCCUUGGUCAAUGAUCAAAUUCAUGACUCAUCUCUCAGGGUGUUAGUUAUUCUGUCUCAAGUACUAGCCAGUGGUGCAGUGGUGAAUAAAAUAAAAUGUAGGUUCUGCAAAUAGUUGAUCUCACACAAUAUUUAUUCUCUUAGCAUUUUGAUUAAUAGCUACUGCUGCUUAAACCGUGUGGAUUUUGGAUUCUCAGUUCUGAGUAAAAUCCUAAAACUUGGAUUAGAGCCCAGCAUCAUGAUAUUUACUACCUUAAUUGAUGGGCUGUGUAAAGGGGGUACAAUCAAUAGAGCAGUAGACCUUUUCAAUGAUAUCGUUGCAAGAGGUUUUCAACCUGAUGUUUAUACCGACAAUAUGAUAGUAAAUGCUCUGUGUAAAUACGGCAAAACAGAUGUGGCUACUGGGUUGUUGAAGGAAAUGGUUGAGAGAGGUUGUGAGCCAGAUGUCAUGACCUACAAUCCAAUCAUUGAUUGCAAGGAUAAGCUAGUUGCUGAGGCAUUAAACCUCUUUUCUCAACUGGGGAACAAGGGCAUUUCACCUACUGCUGUCACUUACAACUGCCUAAUUCACGGUCUUUGCAGUUUAGGUAAAUUGAAUCAAGCUUUAUCCUUGCUGAAUGAAAUGGUGGUGCAGAACAUAUCACCAGAUGUUUAUACCUUCAGUAUAUUUAUUGACAAUCUUUUUAAGGAAGGAAUGGUUUCAAAGGUUCAAGAAAUUUUUGGCAUAAUGGUUAAAUGGAAUAUUAGGCCUCAACAUCUUGAUCAAUGGGUACUAUGAGAACAAAAGGAUUGAUGAAGCAAAGAAACUUUUUGAUGAAAUGCAUUAUAAAGGUUUAGUUCCCAACAUUGUGCUUGUGGCGAGUGGGAAAGUCCCAAACUGCACUAGAGGUUUUCAAGCGCAUGUGUUCUCAAGGACACCAGCCAGAUAGAAUAAGUUUCUCCAUUUUGCUUGAUGGAUUGUGCAAGCAGGGGAAUCUUGAUGAGGCGCUUGCACUAUUUAAAGCAAUGGAAAAGAGCCGGUUGAAGCCUAAUCAUGUGACCUAUACCAUUUUGAUUGAUGGUCUGUGUAGAGUUGGGAAUCUUAAUGAUGCCAAGAAAUUUUUUUCUAGGCUUCUUGAAAAAGGUGUGCAGCCUAAUGUUUAUACAUAUAGUACAUUCAUUAAAGGACUUUGCAAGGAGGGAUUAUUAGAUGAAGCAUACCAGGUUUUUAGAGGAAUGGAAGAUAGUGGAUGUUUACCGAAUGACUGUUGUUAAAAUGUGAUUAUUCAAGGGUUUCUCAGGCAUGAGGAUGUACCAAAAGCAUCACAACUUAUUGAUGAAAUGGUUGAUAAGGGAUUCUCUGCAGAUACCACGACCACUGAAUUGGUAAUACAUUUAUCUCACAAUGACGGUCUCAUUUUGAGAAACUACGAAAUCGAUCUGAAGGUUCUAAUGGCAUAAAUGCGAAGUGAGAUACUAGCAAUUAAUGCUUGAUCAACUGAUGCAUGAGUUCUUUGUCAUGUUGUGUGUCAUUGGUACUUGAUUCUAUAUCAAUAUGUGUACAAUUACAAAUUCCUCAAGUUAGUUGCUUUUGUUUUUUCAGAGGAAACUGUUUAUUAGCAGUAACAUCAUGUUUUUAGGCUGCAUGGAUAGAAGACUAUAGUAAAGAUGGUUGUAUUUGGUAUCGGAAAAUGGAUAGAAGACUGUUGGGUAACCAUAUGAAUGGCUGAUUUGUCUCUCUUUCUGUACUGAGAAAGCAAUUCUUAAUACCUUAUGUGUUACUUACCUUAUCGGUACAUUUUGUUAAUUGUUUUGAUGUUGGAAAAUUAUGUCUCAAUUCGCAAUUAUGACCCUGAAAAAAAGCAAAAUACUUGCAAACUCGCUAGAUAUUUCCUUUCAUGUCUAGGAAGUUGAAUAGUAUUUGGAAUCUUUUUCAAGAGGCACUUAAUUAUCACUCUUCUUCUAUAUAGGAAAUCGAUGCAUGUGAUUGUUUUUGUAUUUUGAGCAACAUGCGAUUCCAUAAGCAUCACUCAUAAUGUGCAUAGUCCCUAAUUUGCAUAUGCUGAUUUAUUUUUGAACUGGUGAUGUAACUCAGAAUGUAGGUAGUAGCUUGGC
rnacentral:lncRNA from 1 species